UUCUUUUUCUUUUUCUUUUUCUUCUUUUUCUUCUUCUUUGUUUGUGUUGUUGUAGGCUCGGGAAGAAGGGA
rnacentral:ribozyme from 13 species